rnacentral:tRNA from 1 species
GCCCUCAUAGUUCAACGGAUAGAACACCAGCCUUCUAAGCUGGUUAUGUAGGUUCGAUUCCUACUGAGGGUA